AGCUCCAAUAGCGUAUAUUUUAGUUGUUGCAGUUAAAAAGCUCGUAGUAGAAUUUCUGGUGGGGGAAUGCAGUUCAAGCUAUGCUUGAUACUCGCACUCUCCGGCCAUCUUUGAGUGGAGCCUGUCUGGCAUUAAGUUGUCGGGCUGGGGAUGCUCAUCGUUUACUGUGAAAAAAUUAGAGUGUUCAAAGCAGACUUAUGUCGUUGAAUAUAUUAGCAUGGGAUAAUAAGAUAAGACUUCGGUACUAUUUUGUUGGUUAGGUGCCGUUGUAAUGAUGAACAGGGACAGUUGUGGGUAUUCGUAUUCACUUGUAAGAGGUGAAAUUCUUAGAUUAAGGGAAGACGAACUACUGCGAAAGCAUUUACCAAGGAUGUUUUCAUUUAUCAAGAACGAAAGUAGG
rnacentral:rRNA from 1 species